CCGGCGAUAGUAAUCGAGUUCUUUGAUUAGGGUUGUUGAGGCUUUCGGGCGAGGAAGACGAAGCGGCGGCCGCAGGUUGACCCUUCGACACUCCGCGAGUUCGUCUCGGUCAGCACACAGGCCGCACCUCACGGGCCGAGCUCGGACACUACCAUUGGGCCUCGUUCCCUUUCGGCCCAACCCAGAGACGCAUCCAGGAACCCUGCGCCGUUAGUGUCCUUUGUAGCCCAUUAGUUUCGACGUUGUCGGCGGCUUCGUUGCACUUGCGGCUUGGUGGCGCGACAUACGUAUAAUAUACCAAUUCCUAGGUUUUUGACCCUUCUGGAACCAUUCCCACCCUUGUUUCAACCAUCUGAGGAGAUAGUUAGGUGUCGGAGUUAGCAUGAUGAGUG